rnacentral:rRNA from 1 species
AGGGGCUCAGCAGGCGCGAAAACUUUACAAUGCGAGAAAUCGUGAUAAGGGAACCCCGAGUGCCCGUAAAUUCGGGCUGUCCGUCAGUGUAAAUAACUGGCGAAGAAAGGGCCGGGCAAGACCGGUGCCAGCCGCCGCGGUAAUACCGGCGGCUCGAGUGGUGGCCGCUAUUACUGGGCUUAAAGCGUCCGUAGCUGGGUUGUUAAGUCUCCUGGGAAAUCCACCGGCUCAACCGAUGGGCGUUCAGGAGAUACUGGCAACCUAGGGACCGGGAGAGGUGAGAGGUACUCCAGGGGUAGGAGUGAAAUCCUGUAAUCCUUGGGGGACCACCUGUGGCGAAGGCGUCUCACCAGAACGGCUCCGACAGUGAGGGACGAAAGCUGGGGGAGCAAACCGGAUUAGAUACCCGGGUAGUCCCAGCUGUAAACGAUGCGCGUUAGGUGUAUCGGUGACCACGAGUCACCGAGGUGCCGAAGAGAAAUCGUGAAACGUGCCGCCUGGGAAGUACGGUCGCAAGGCUGAAACUUAAAGGAAUUGGCGGGGGAGCAC